rnacentral:rRNA from 1 species
CAGUACCGUGCAAAGGUAGCAUAAUCACUUGUCUUUUAAAUGAAGACCUGUAUGAAUGGCAUAACGAGGGCUUAACUGUCUCCUCUCUCCAGUCAAUGAAAUUGAUCUCCCCGUGCAGAAGCGGGGAUAUUUACAUAAGACGAGAAGACCCUAUGGAGCUUUAGACACCAAGACAGCCCAUGUUAAACAUCCUGAACACAACAGUGCCUAUUAGCUAGCCCCCUCAACUAAACUUAACAAUUGGGGUAACCAUAAAUAACCCCAAAAGCACUAAACGGAUUACCUAAACAAAACAUUUUUCCUCCCUAGUAUGGGCGACAGAAAAGGACCUUCGGGCGCAAUAGAACAAGUACCGCAAGGGAAAGCUGAAAGAGAAAUGAAAUAAACCAAGUAAAGCUAAGAAAAGCAGAGAUUUUCCCUUUUAGAGCCCAUAUCGACAAGGGGGUUUACGACCUCGAUGUUGGAUCAGGACAUCCUAAUGGUGCAGCCGCUAUUAAGGGUUCGUUUGUUCAACGAUUAAAGUCCUACGUGAUCUGAGUUCAGACCGGAGGUCAUA